CACAGGGUGGAACUCAAGAUUCAUGCGUGAUGAUUUUAGUAAAAAAAUUGGCAAGGAAGGCCAGGCACUGAGGUUGGUGCCCUGCCCUCCUUUGCCCCCCCAGCCCCUGUGAAUGCUCUUUAUACUGUUUUUCAUAGAAACUAAACUAUCUACUUCUCCUUUCUUCCCAACACUGACCUUUACAAAACAGUGUUGUGGAGAACAUGGAACACUAAAACUUGCCUUAACAUCAAAUAUCAAUUCCUGACUCCAAAAUACAUUCUGUAUGUAUUGAAGAGGUAAAUAUUCAAGUUUUCAAAGAGAAAUGUAAGCUAGUGUUUUAUAUUUGAAAUAGGUGGAUUUUCUAGGCUUUGAUGCAAAGGGAAUAAUUAAAUAUAAAAAUGAUAUCUUUCUAUAUAGAGAACAAAUAGAAAUCAUGUUGACAACAUUUUGGUGUGGCUAUUAACUUAUGCACAUCAGAGAACUCUGCUAAUGAUUGUUAGCCAUUGGCAAACAAUGCACCAUAAAGACAUUCAUAUACUUUGACCCUGUCAUAUAACUUUGGGGAUUUUAUUGUAAAGUAAUAAUUCAACAGAAAUAAAUCUCAAAUCAACAACAGUGUUUUAAGAUUUUUCUUUUUUUAAAAAAAUUUGCAGUCAUCUAUUGUUUAAUUAGCAGAAGAACAGUAGGGGAAUAGCAGAAAGGUCCAGUUCUCCUACAGUAUAUAGAUAUGUAUAAAAGCCAUUCGACCUCUGAGUUCCCACCUACAUAUUUGCAAAAUCAGCCUCAGAAAGUCUCCCUCUUCAAAUAAAAGGUUAAACUUGUAUAUUAUAAGGCCCUUUCCAGACUUGGCUGCAAGUUACACAGUUCUACUUUAUUUUUUUAAUUUUUUUUAUUUGAAUUAGAAACCAGAUUGUUUUACAUGUCAAUUCCAGUUCCCUCUCCCUCCCAUCCUUCCCUGCCCCUACAACUAACACCCUACCUAUCUCAUACCCUUUCUGCUCCCAAGGGAGGUUGAGUCCUUCCAUAGGGUUUUUCUUAAUACUAUAUAAACAUAUGAAAUAAUAAAAACUAUCAAAAUAUUCAGCAAUAAAAAUAGCUUAUUAAUUAUGUAACAGCAGCAAGAGGUAAUUUAAUGAGCCAUUAAAAUUAUAGUAUAUGGCUACAGAACCACAUGGAAACACAAUGUGUAAUCACCACAUGACAAUAUUUCUCUGGUUAUUUGAUGGCUGUUCUGUAGAAUGUGUAUGAUGACUACAUACCUAGGUGGCUAUGAAAGAUGGGCAAAAAUAAAAGAGAGGGAACACACUGAUAUUCUUCAUGGUUGAAGAAAGGAAACCAAAUGCACCCAAGAGGACUCAGAUGCUGCAGGCAAUUUAUGAAGCAAGAGCAAGACAACCAGUAUUUUCCUCUCACUCUGCAGUGGGGGAUCUAAAACAAAAAACAAACUCUUUGUGUUCUACCUGAUUCCUUCCCUUUAAGAAGAAAGAUCAUGGCUGGGACAGGUGAUAGCCAUGUCUUGUCCUGAAACCUGCCUAAGAAGACAUCUAGAUGAAGAAACAAGAUAUAGAAGAAAGGACACACAUACAGAAAAGCUGGGGGUAGAUACAUUGUACACACUUGGAUGGAAGACACCUACUACAACAACCCCCAAACUCAGCAAGUUUAUUAUAUACAGCCUGAGGAGGAGGACUGCCUUUUCUUAAUGGAAGUCUUUAUAUUUGCAGAAGUCUUAGUCUGUAAACAUCAGGGAGGAGGAACCUAAGGUGGAUGUUUUCUGUAUAUACAUGUAAACAUUUUUAAACCAGGGGAAAGGCUUUGUCAUUUCCCGGAGCCUGACCCAGGUAAGGCAUUGCCAUUUCCACGGGUCUGGGCUAUUAGCAUCCUUGACAUGGCCAUGCUCAUGUCAACAACACAUAUUCACUCUGGACUUUACUCUCUCCCUACAUAAUAUACUCAGGAAGAAACUUGGGCAAACAAGCUGCUUGUUGAAACCCAAGCAUCAUACACCAAACACAGAAGUUAAGGAAAUGCCAGCUGUCUCUAGUUACUGUCCUAUCCUGAUAGUUUUAAAAGCAUUUGAUGAGUGAGAAAAUAGUUCACGAAACAGAACAUCCACUCCAGUCUUCAAUCCAGCUCAUGUAUAAACUGUUACUUUAAGCCUAAUCUCACCUUUGAAGGAGCUCACCUUCAGGGCAGGCCUACCCAGGGACCCUCCUGUGCUUCCUCAUGCUAUUUCUUAUAGUCAGUGCUGAUACAUUGCACCUCAGUUAUGAGAUGCAAAGAAAUGAUAAUUUGAACAAAUUAAAUGAGUUUGUAACAUAAAAUCAUUUACUAUAUGAUUAUCAGGAGCUCUACCUUAUAUCUGUGCUCCCCAAUCUGGGUUUCCAAAUCACACCUUUAGUUUUCUGUUCUGUUCAACAUAAAAAUGUGAUCUCUAGGUACCACCUUAAGAACAGACAUGUUGCAAAUCAGAUAAUUACAUAUAUUUAAAAUAAUAAAAGACCGGUUUGUGAUGGCAAAAGCUGAUGGGAUAUGCUGAAUAGGCAGAGACUGAAGAAUCAUGUAUUCAGACCAACUUGAGCUACACCUUUGGAAAUGGAGUGAUGACUCAGUGGUUAAAGAUGUACAGUGAUGCUCUUCCAGAGAACAUGGGUUUGAUUCCCAGGACUCAGAUGAGGUGACUCACAACCACCUGUAAUUCCAACUCCAGGGCACCCAUUGCCCUAUUCUGGUCUACAUGAGCACCUACACACGGGGCAUACUAUUCCAUAUACUUACAUAAAUAAAAAUAACACAAAUCUUUAGAAUAACAUAAAAUAGAGGGGGGAAUCUGAGGAGAUUGGAAUGUUUGUCUAGUAUCUGUGGCCCCAAGUCAAGAAUAUGUUUCUAACAUUUGAACAGAGCCUCAACUUCAGAGGGUUGUAUCAGACAAGUGCAGCCUUUUCCAUGCUGACUACAUCAAUAAUGUAGUAUAAUGAGAGGGUGAAGAUCUAGCUUCUUGGGUCCAAUCUGGGGAUACUUUGACAAGUCACCCAUGAACCAUAGAUACCUUCUGGCUGGCUGAAAUACCGACCCUGUUUCUUCAUCUCCUUUCAACAGCUGUUGGUGAUUCAUAAAUACAUAAUGCCUUAUUGACCUGUCAAAUAUUAUACAAAUAAAUCUCAGUCCCUUAUUGAAGAGCAGUCAGGCUGCAGUCAAUAUAUAUAACGACAAACAAACCCAAUUCUAAAAUGGAAUUUUAAAGCUGAAUCAUUCUUACCACUGUAAUAGAAGAGUUGUACACAGACAUUUGUCCUAAGUAGAUAUCCAGUUUGGAAAACAAAAUAGUCACAUUAGAAGGAACUACAUCCCCAUAUGCUACAGCAUAGAAUGUGCAAGUGAUGUUGGCACAAUUAUGCUUAUCAUAUCUACUUGCAUAUACUGCUCAAUCAAAUUUUUAUGCUGCCAUUUGAUUAUGCUAAAAUUCAGCUACUCUACUUCCAUCUAACAAUGCACUGACAGGCACAACAUCAUUGUGUCUGCUGUAUGGAUGAGACCCUGAAGAUGGACUGAUAACUCCCCAGACUGGUUCUGUUACAGAGUCCUUCACUUCCAAACUAGAAUCCCACUCCAAACUAGAAGUCUCUAUGUUACUGUGGUGUGUUUAAUGAGUAUGAGUUGACAGGCUCAUGUGUUUGAGUGCCUGGUCCCCCUUUGGUGGAACUGUUCAAGAAAUAUUAAAAGGUGAAGCCUUGUUGGAGGAGGUUGUGACUCAAGGGUGGGAUUUAAGGUUUCAAAAGCCCACACCAUUCCCAGUCUCUUUUUGCCUCCAACUUUCAGGUAAAGUGUGAGCUCUCAGCUAUUGAUCCAUGGAUUCAUCUCAAAAAAUAUAAAUUAAGCCCACAAUUAAACACCUUAUUUUAACGUU